CCCAGGCUGAGGCAUCUGCCCUGGAGCCAGGAAGCGAUGCUCAUGUUGAAGACCAGAGCUCCCUGAGGAGAACAGCAGCCAUUCCCAGGGAGAGUGAGGCCCGAGGUCCUCCUCUGACGAGAACAGAUGGUAGGUUAAGAAGACAUCACAGGACUGCUGGGAGAAAUAAUUUGAUGACAUAUGCAAAGCACAUAGCAAAUUGCUUGACACAAGAUAAGCACCCCGUACAUCUGCGUUUCCCUUCCUCGUGUCUAACUCAGCUGAAUUAGGAAAAUGAAUCAUGGUUACUUUGUUGUGAAGAAAUU
rnacentral:lncRNA from 1 species